GAGUCUGAUCAUGGCUCAGAUUGAACGCUGGCGGCAGGCCUAACACAUGCAAGUCGAACGGUAACAGGAAACAGCUUGCUGUUUCGCUGACGAGUGGCGGACGGGUGAGUAAUGUCUGGGAAACUGCCUGAUGGAGGGGGAUAACUAUUGGAAACGGUAGCUAAUACCGCAUAACGUCGCAAGACCAAAGAGGGGGACCUUCGGGCCUCUUGCCAUCAGAUGUGCCCAGAUGGGAUUAGCUAGUAGGUGGGGUAACGGCUCACCUAGGCGACGAUCCCUAGCUGGUCUGAGAGGAUGACCAGCCACACUGGAACUGAGACACGGUCCAGACUCCUACGGGAGGCAGCAGUGGGGAAUAUUGCACAAUGGGCGCAAGCCUGAUGCAGCCAUGCCGCGUGUAUGAAGAAGGCCUUCGGGUUGUAAAGUACUUUCAGCGGGGAGGAAGGGAGUAAAGUUAAUACCUUUGCUCAUUGACGUUACCCGCAGAAGAAGCACCGGCUAACUCCGUGCCAGCAGCCGCGGUAAUACGGAGGGUGCAAGCGUUAAUCGGAAUUACUGGGCGUAAAGCGCACGCAGGCGGUUUGUUAAGUCAGAUGUGAAAUCCCCGGGCUCAACCUGGGAACUGCAUCUGAUACUGGCAAGCUUGAGUCUCGUAGAGGGGGGUAGAAUUCCAGGUGUAGCGGUGAAAUGCGUAGAGAUCUGGAGGAAUACCGGUGGCGAAGGCGGCCCCCUGGACGAAGACUGACGCUCAGGUGCGAAAGCGUGGGGAGCAAACAGGAUCAGAUACCCUGGUAGUCCACGCCGUAAACGAUGUCGACUUGGAGGUUGUGCCCUUGAGGCGUGGCUUCCGGAGCUAACGCGUUAAGUCGACCGCCUGGGGAGUACGGCCGCAAGGUUAAAACUCAAAUGAAUUGACGGGGGCCCGCACAAGCGGUGGAGCAUGUGGUUUAAUUCGAUGCAACGCGAAGAACCUUACCUGGUCUUGACAUCCACGGAAGUUUUCAGAGAUGAGAAUGUGCCUUCGGGAACCGUGAGACAGGUGCUGCAUGGCUGUCGUCAGCUCGUGUUGUGAAAUGUUGGGUUAAGUCCCGCAACGAGCGCAACCCUUAUCCUUUGUUGCCAGCGGUCCGGCCGGGAACUCAAAGGAGACUGCCAGUGAUAAACUGGAGGAAGGUGGGGAUGACGUCAAGUCAUCAUGGCCCUUACGACCAGGGCUACACACGUGCUACAAUGGCGCAUACAAAGAGAAGCGACCUCGCGAGAGCAAGCGGACCUCAUAAAGUGCGUCGUAGUCCGGAUUGGAGUCUGCAACUCGACUCCAUGAAGUCGGAAUCGCUAGUAAUCGUGGAUCAGAAUGCCACGGUGAAUACGUUCCCGGGCCUUGUACACACCGCCCGUCACACCAUGGGAGUGGGUUGCAAAAGAAGUAGGUAGCUUAACCUUCGGGAGGGCGCUUACCACUUUGUGAUUCAUGACUGGGGUGAAGC
rnacentral:rRNA from 1 species